rnacentral:tRNA from 1 species
GCGCCGGUAGCUCAGCGGAUGAGAGCAUCUGACUACGGAUCAGAAGGUCGGGGGUUCGAAUCCCUCCCGGCGCG